AGCGCUUUCUAUGCCCCAUAUUUUCUGAUAUAAACCAAAAAUUGAAAACUGUUCAAUGUGACCCGGAGUCAACACAAGGGUUAAAUGACAUGAACAUGACAUGACGGAAUUAAAAAUAUAAAACCUAUGUUUGAAUGUUUGGAUAUAACAUUAUAAUAUAUAAACUAUAUAUAAACUACUGUGAUCAGGAUUUGAAUGUAAGUAGGCCUAUGUUUAAUUAGGCUAAAUAUGGAUUCAAUAAACUGCAGCAACAAUGCCACGUUCUACCGCUAUGUAGAAUUACGUACAGGUGUAUGGAAGUAUAGGCUAAUUUCUAUUAAUAGGCUAAUCAAAUAAAUUGCAAGCCACACUCAUAAACCCGCGAUGUUCCAGUGAAUUCUAACGGGCAAUUGGUACGCACGCAGCGACAUGAAUCCAGCAAACCCAUCCGGAGUCUCAGUGACGUUCGAAGCUUCGGACGUCAUCAGUCACGUGCUUAUUUCAAUUCGAUACGAGCUCCAACACUGGGUUUCGAACCAGUGUGCUUUGCGGGAGUGAUACAAGCUUCGGUGCCUCGGUGUCAAACGUCCCAUCACUAGUGUUAGCUGCUGAUCUUAUUGGACCGUUUUAGGAGACAGAGCUCGAGGUAAAGACACACACACUCAGGUAAAGCCUCUAAUGACUGCUCUUUAUCACGGAGAUCAAAGCGAGGAGAAGGCUGAGCUGCGCAUGCGCCGACACUCAAUGAUUUCUGCAGCAGCAGCAGAGAGCAGUAG